AACGAACGCUGGCGGCAUGCCUAACACAUGCAAGUCGAACGAGACCUUCGGGUCUAGUGGCGCACGGGUGCGUAACGCGUGGGAACCUGCCCUUAGGUUCGGAAUAACUCCCCGAAAGGGGUGCUAAUACCGGAUAAUGUCUUCGGACCAAAGAUUUAUCGCCUUUGGAUGGGCCCGCGUUGGAUUAGCUAGUUGGUAGGGUAAAAGCCUACCAAGGCGACGAUCCAUAGCCGGUCUGAGAGGAUGAUCAGCCACACUGGGACUGAGACACGGCCUAGACUCCUACGGGAGGCAGCAGUGGGGAAUAUUGGACAAUGGGCGAAAGCCUGAUCCAGCAAUGCCGCGUGAGUGAUGAAGGCCUUAGGGUUGUAAAGCUCUUUUACCCGGGAUGAUAAUGACAGUACCGGGAGAAUAAGCUCCGGCUAACUCCGUG
rnacentral:rRNA from 1 species